AGAAGCUCCUAAAUUCUCACUCCAUGGGCUGGUAAAGGGCUUCCUAUUUUCCCUCGUCUCUUGUCCGCUGGCUUCAAUUGGAGAGUGAUUGAAGGCUAUCCAAACUCGUCUCUCCCGCGAAACUGCUCCUUCUCCAAACACGUCUCUCCCGCGAAAUCGAUCUGCUCCUUCAGCGCGAAAUCGAUUUUCUCCUUCGACGUUGUCUGCAACUCCCUCCAUCUGACCUCUUUCUCAAGGAUCUAGAUCUGCAGCAAACAUAAGAUGAACAUACAUGUGGCGUUCAUGAAGCUGUUUGCUAUUUUGAUGUUAAUAACCUUUUCUCCUCAGUGACACUCCAGUUUGGCUCACUGAUUUUCUCAGUUUUGGGGUUAGGGGGUACUUCUGUAGUGUUAUGCGGGAUGCAUGAGCCAUGAAUGUAAUCUCUUGGGACAAACUAAGAUGGGUGUGGGAAUGUAUGUAUAAGCACCCUCUUUAUUUUUAUUUUUUUCCUUUUGCAGGUAUUAUUGUGUUUUGAGGAGGGUGUCCCUCUUGAAACCUAUAUUAUUAAAAAUGUUCCUAGUAGGCCUUUGGAGUUGAAAGCUUCAAUCCGUUUCUCUUAGAUAUUUUUAUUUUGUUCCAGAUUUUUUGAAUUUAUUUCCCUUGAUUGGAACACAGGCUUGAUUUGUCAUAA